CCAGACUCCUACGGGAGGCAGCAGUGAGGAAUAUUGGUCAAUGGGCGGGAGCCUGAACCAGCCAAGUCGCGUGAGGGAUGACGGCCCUAUGGGUUGUAAACCUCUUUUGCCGGGGAGCAGUGGUCCGGACGCGUCCGGACCGGGAGAGUACCCGGAGAAAAAGCAUCGGCUAACUCCGUGCCAGCAGCCGCGGUAAUACGGAGGAUGCGAGCGUUAUCCGGAUUUAUUGGGUUUAAAGGGUGCGCAGGCGGAUUUUUAAGUCAGCGGUCAAAUCGUGGGGCUCAACCCCAUCCAGCCGUUGAAACUGGGGGCCUUGAGUGGGCGAGAAGAAGGCGGAAUGCGUGGUGUAGCGGUGAAAUGCAUAGAUAUCACGCAGAACCCCGAUUGCGAAGGCAGCCUUCCGGCGCCCUACUGGCGCUGAGGCACGAAAGUGCGGGGAUCGAACAGGAUUAGAUACCCGUGUAC
rnacentral:rRNA from 1 species